rnacentral:rRNA from 1 species
CACGUAGGGUGCGAGCGUUGUCCGGAAUUAUUGGGCGUAAAGAGCUCGUAGGCGGUGUGUCGCGUCGGCCGUGAAAACCUGCAGCUUAACUGUGGGCGUGCGGUCGAUACGGGCAUCACUGGAGUUCGGCAGGGGAGACUGGAAUUCCUGGUGUAGCGGUGAAAUGCGCAGAUAUCAGGAGGAACACCGGUGGCGAAGGCGGGUCUCUGGGCCGAUACUGACGCUGGAGGGAGCGAAAAGCAUGGGGGAGCGAACAGG